rnacentral:rRNA from 1 species
CAGCUUUUAACCAUUGUAGGCCUAAAAGCAGCCACCAAUAAAGAAAGCGUUCAAGCUCAACAUAAAAUUUCAAUUAAUUCCAUAAUUUACACCAACUUCCUAAACUUAAAAUUGGGUUAAUCUAUAACUUUAUAGAUGCAACACUGUUAGUAUGAGUAACAAGAAUUCCAAUUCUCCAGACAUACGCGUAUAACAACUCGGAUAACCAUUGUUAGUUAAUCAGACUAUAGGCAAUAAUCACACUAUAAAUAAUCCACCUAUAACUUCUCUG